GACGAACGCUGGCGGCGUGCUUAACACAUGCAAGUCGAACGGAAAGGCCCUGCUUUUGUGGGGUGCUCGAGUGGCGAACGGGUGAGUAACACGUGAGUAACCUGCCCUUGACUUUGGGAUAACUUCAGGAAACUGGGGCUAAUACCGGAUAGGAGCUCCUGCUGCAUGGUGGGGGUUGGAAAGUUUCGGCGGUUGGGGAUGGACUCGCGGCUUAUCAGCUUGUUGGUGGGGUAGUGGCUUACCAAGGCUUUGACGGGUAGCCGGCCUGAGAGGGUGACCGGCCACAUUGGGACUGAGAUACGGCCCAGACUCCUACGGGAGGCAGCAGUGGGGAAUAUUGCACAAUGGGCGGAAGCCUGAUGCAGCAACGCCGCGUGAGGGAUGACGGCCUUCGGGUUGUAAACCGCUUUCGCCUGUGACGAAGCGUGAGUGACGGUAAUGGGUAAAGAAGCACCGGCUAACUACGUGCCAGCAGCCGCGGUGAUACGUAGGGUGCGAGCGUUGUCCGGAUUUAUUGGGCGUAAAGGGCUCGUAGGUGGUUGAUCGCGUCGGAAGUGUAAUCUUGGGGCUUAACCCUGAGCGUGCUUUCGAUACGGGUUGACUUGAGGAAGGUAGGGGAGAAUGGAAUUCCUGGUGGAGCGGUGGAAUGCGCAGAUAUCAGGAGGAACACCAGUGGCGAAGGCGGUUCUCUGGGCCUUUCCUGACGCUGAGGAGCGAAAGCGUGGGGAGCGAACAGGCUUAGAUACCCUGGUAGUCCACGCUGUAAACGGUGGGUACUAGGUGUGGGGUCCAUUCCACGGGUUCCGUGCCGUAGCUAACGCUUUAAGUACCCCGCCUGGGGAGUACGGCCGCAAGGCUAAAACUCAAAGGAAUUGACGGGGCCCCGCACAAGCGGCGGAGCAUGCGGAUUAAUUCGAUGCAACGCGUAGAACCUUACCUGGGUUUGACAUGGAUCGGGAGCGCUCAGAGAUGGGUGUGCCUCUUUUGGGGUCGGUUCACAGGUGGUGCAUGGCUGUCGUCAGCUCGUGUCGUGAGAUGUUGGGUUAAGUCCCGCAACGAGCGCAACCCUUGUUCACUGUUGCCAGCACGUUAUGGUGGGGACUCAGUGGAGACCGCCGGGGUCAACUCGGAGGAAGGUGGGGAUGACGUCAAGUCAUCAUGCCCCUUAUGUCCAGGGCUUCACGCAUGCUACAAUGGCUGGUACAGAGAGUGGCGAGCCUGUGAGGGUGAGCGAAUCUCGGAAAGCCGGUCUCAGUUCGGAUUGGGGUCUGCAACUCGACCUCAUGAAGUCGGAGUCGCUAGUAAUCGCAGAUCAGCAACGCUGCGGUGAAUACGUUCCCGGG
rnacentral:rRNA from 1 species